rnacentral:misc_RNA from 1 species
CGGACACCAGGGUUUCUAAUCCUGUUUGCUACCCACGCUUUCGCACCUCAGCGUCAAUCUUUGUCCAGUAAGCUGCCUUCGCCAUUGGUGUUCCUUCAUAUAUCUGCGCAUUCCACCGCUACACAUGAAAUUCCACUUACCUCUCCAAGAUUCUAGUUAAACAGUUUUCAACGCAUCCCAAUGGUUGAGCCAUUGUUUUUAACAUCAAACUUAUCUAACCGCCUACGUGCUCUUUACGCCCAAUAAUUCCGGAUAACGCUCGGGACCUACGUAUUACCGCGGCUGCUGGCAC